AAAGACCAUCUGCUAAAAAUCAACACAAUUACUCAUUAUGCAAAUUUUAUUCUGAUUUACGUAUAUGUACAGAUGCAGCAUUUUCAAAUCACCAGAAAGUUUAAUAGAACUCAAGAAAUAACUUACAAGAAAUACAAGAUGAAGAUGUUAUGUGUGUUCUUACUAUUGGGCUGUGUGGCUGUAUCAUUGGCUGCAUCUGGUCGCUGCAAUGAACCUUGUGAAUUCAACCCGUGCGUGAAUCAAGAAAGAAAACCUGGACACUGUUGUGCAUAUUGUCCCCAUGGUCCUAACUGUUUCGCCGGAGGUCGGGUAAUUAAAGGUUCGGGAGAUACAGUAACAGUUGUCAAUGGAAAGAAAUGUCGGUGCUCCAGAAAGGAUGAAGCUGGUUAUGAAACUAAUGACGGUGUUUGUGAAGAUUCCUAAUUAUUGUCACUUAUCUGCACGCACAAUAAACGAUUAAGACAUUACAUAUAUACACCGUUUUAAAUAAAAGAAAAGUAAAUUUAGUUAAAUGUC